rnacentral:rRNA from 1 species
UACGUAGGGGGCAAGCGUUGUCCGGAAUUAUUGGGCGUAAAGAGCGCGUAGGCGGUCCGAUAAGUCGGCUGUGAAAGUCAAGGGCUCAACCCUUGAAUGCCGGUGGAAACUGUCGGGCUUGAGUUCGGAAGAGGCGAGUGGAAUUCCUGGUGUAGCGGUGAAAUGCGCAGAUAUCAGGAGGAACACCAAUGGCGAAGGCAGCUCGCUGGGACGACACUGACGCUGAGACGCGAAAGCGUGGGGAGCAAACAGG